CUCUUUAAUUGGGGGCUGGAAUGAAGGGUAGAUUCUGAGAGGAAAGUUUUUUUAAAUGAUUUUGAAUUUGAUUUAAAAGUAAAAAAGCUUUUAUUAAUCCUUGGGACGAGAAGACCCUAGAAGUUUUAAAUAUAGAAAUAUUUUUUAUUGGGGCAAUAGUCUAAAGAUAAUAAUUUUUGGUUAAUGAAUUAAAUGUAUAUAAAUUACUCUAGGGAUAACAGCGUUAUUUAAUUAAUGAGUUCUUAUUAAUAGUUAAGUUUGCGACCUCGAUGUUGAAUUAAAUUUAAUAUAUGGUGAAGGGGCUAUGAUAUUUAGUCUGUUCGACUAUUAAAAAUUUACGUGAUCUGAGU
rnacentral:rRNA from 1 species